rnacentral:ncRNA from 1 species
GGAAGCCGGUGGAAUUCCGGCACAGUCGCGCUACUGUGACAUCGCCUCAGCCUUCGGGCCGGGUGGUGGAGUCAGAC